CACGUAGGGCGCAAGCGUUGUCCGGAAUUAUUGGGCGUAAAGAGCUCGUAGGCGGUCUGUUGCGUCCGCUGUGAAAACUCGGGGCUUAACCCCGAGCCUGCAGUGGAUACGGGCAGACUAGAGGUAGGUAGGGGAGAAUGGAAUUCCCGGUGUAGCGGUGAAAUGCGCAGAUAUCGGGAGGAACACCUAUGGCGAAGGCAGCUUGCUGGGACGGCACUGACGCUGAGACGCGAAAGCGUGGGGAGCAAACAGG
rnacentral:rRNA from 1 species